UUGAUUUUUUUUUUUGUUGUUGUUGUUGUUAAAACAACAAAACGUUCUACACAGCCAUCUGUAACCCUGAGAUUCCAGCAUCCCUAACGCCUCGCAGCACAGCCGCUGCCGGCACCAACAGUCACACAGAGAGCCCCGCGGACCGGACUGGCGCCGACGCCAGGGUGCCUCCGACAGGCAUCCAACGUAAGACAAACUGCAGAAGUUCGAAUCCACCAAAGGAAUGAACCGAAGGAAAGCGGCGCAGUUCUAAGGAUUUACGUUGCUUCGAACAAACUUCGACUGAAGGCUGCGUAACACAGAAAGCAGCGUGAAGAUGCAGCCACGGCCGGCUCCGAGGGCAGCGCGGUGGUGCUGAGCGGUUGCGAGCACGGCACGCAGGCUCUGCGAACCAUGUGGAGGUGCAAUUUAUCGCCUGAGCAUCGGGACUGGGGACACAGCUUUGGAGGAAGUGUAUGAUGCUCUUUUGUGGCAGCUUCAAUAAGGGGCUUAAAUGGCUCUGUAAUGGACUAUUCCAUACAGCUCAAACAGGCAUUCCUCCCUUGUUUGUAGGCAGAGCUGUGCUACCUGUGUGUUCCAACUACUUGUAAUAGAGAACAGCUGUGCUCUUAAAAGCAAUCCUAAUGAACCAUUGUCUGAACUCUUA